rnacentral:ncRNA from 1 species
UGUUUUGCUAGCUUGGGGACCCCGACGAGACGCGCCGUACCGGGUGAAGAAAAGACGACGCACC